rnacentral:rRNA from 1 species
UACGGGGGGGGGCAAGCGUUGUUCGGAAUUACUGGGCGUAAAGGGCUCGUAGGCGGCCAACUAAGUCAGACGUGAAAUCCCUCGGCUUAACCGGGGAACUGCGUCUGAUACUGGAUGGCUAGAGUUUGGGAGAGGGAUGCGGAAUUCCAGGUGUAGCGGUGAAAUGCGUAGAUAUCUGGAGGAACACCAGUGGCGAAAGCGGCUUCCUGGUCCAGCACCGACGUUCAGGCACGAAAGCGUGGGGAGCAAACAGG